rnacentral:rRNA from 1 species
AUUGAACGCUGGCGGCAUGCCUCACACAUGCAAGUCGAACGGUAACAGGUCUUCGGAUGCUGACGAGUGGCGAACGGGUGAGUAAUACAUCGGGACGUGCCUAGUAGUGGGGGAUAACUACUCGAAAGAGUGGCUAAUACCGCAUGAGAUCUACGGAUGAAAGCAGGGGAUCGCAAGACCUUGUGCUACUAGAGCGGCCGAUGGCAGAUUAGGUAGUUGGUGGGAUAAAAGCUUACCAAGCCGACGAUCUGUAGCUGGUCUGAGAGGACGAUCAGCCACACUGGGACUGAGACACGGCCCAGACUCCUACGGGAGGCAGCAGUGGGGAAUUUUGGACAAUGGGCGAAAGCCUGAUCCAGCAAUGCCGCGUGCAGGAUGAAGGCCUUCGGGUUGUAAACUGCUUUUGUACGGAACGAAAGGCUCUGGGUUAAUACCCUGGGGUCAUGACGGUACCGUAAGAAUAAGCACCGGCUAACUACGUGCCAGCCGCCGCCGUAAGAC